rnacentral:rRNA from 1 species
AGAGCGAACGCUGGCGGCAGGCUUAACACAUGCAAGUCGAGCGGGCGUAGCAAUACGUCAGCGGCAGACGGGUGAGUAACGCGUGGGAACAUACCUUUUGGUUCGGAACAACACAGGGAAACUUGUGCUAAUACCGGAUAAGCCCUUACGGGGAAAGAUUUAUCGCCGAAAGAUUGGCCCGCGUCUGAUUAGCUAGUUGGUGAGGUAAUGGCUCACCAAGGCGACGAUCAGUAGCUGGUCUGAGAGGAUGAUCAGCCACAUUGGGACUGAGACACGGCCCAAACUCCUACGGGAGGCAGCAGUGGGGAAUAUUGGACAAUGGGCGCAAGCCUGAUCCAGCCAUGCCGCGUGAGUGAUGAAGGCCCUAGGGUUGUAAAGCUCUUUGUGCGGGAAGAUAAUGACGGUACCGCAAGAAUAAGCCCGGCUAACUUCGCGCCAGCAGCCGC